UUUCCGUAGGUGAACCUGCGGAAGGAUCAUUAUUGUAUAACCGAGGUGCGAGGGCUGUCGCUGACCCGACAGGUCGUGCACGCCCGAGUGCCCUCACACACAUCCAUCUCACCCCUAUGUGCACCACCGCGUGGGUCCCCCUUUGGCUUGUUCGGAGGGGGGCUUACGUUUUCACACAAACUUUGUAUGCAGUGUAGAAUGUAUUUUUUGUUUUUGCGAUCACGCAAUCAAUACAACUUUCAACAACGGAUCUCUUGGUUCUG
rnacentral:misc_RNA from 1 species